rnacentral:rRNA from 1 species
UACGUAGGGGGCAAGCGUUAUCCGGAUUCACUGGGUGUAAAGGGAGCGUAGACGGCGACGCAAGUCUGGAGUGAAAGCCCGCGGCCCAACCGCGGGACUGCAUUGGGAACUGGCGCGCUGGAGUGCCGGAGGGGUAGGCGGAAUUCCUAGUGUAGCGGUGAAAUGCGUAGAUAUUAGGAGGAACACCAGUGGCGAAGGCGGCCUACUGGACGGUGACUGACGCUGAGGCUCGAAAGCGUGGGGAGCAAACAGG